AUGACGUCAAGUCAUCAUGGCCCUUAUGGUCCAGGGCGACACACGUGCUACAAUGGCCGGCACAGCGGGAAGCGAGGGGCGACCUUGAGCGGAUCCCUCAAAGCCGGUCUCAGUUCGGAUUGCAGUCUGCAACUCGACUGCAUGAAGUUGGAAUCGCUAGUAAUCGUGGAUCAGCAUGCCGCGGUGAAUACGUUCCCGGGCCUU
rnacentral:rRNA from 1 species